GUGAAUCAUCAAAUUUUUGAACGCAUAUUGCACUCCCCGGCAUUCCGGGGAGUAUGCCUGUUUCAGCAUCAGAAUCAUCCUCGAUCCCACGGGACGGACUCCUAUCUCGUAUGCCAUCUGCUUCUUGAAGAAAAAAAAUAGGUUAAGUGACCUAAAAUUUUGCAUGAUUUUUUUCGAACGUAUUUAAAUGAUAUUACGUACGUUUGCGAGAUCGAAGACUAGGUGUGGUCAUCCUCAUGAUUCGCGCCUAUAAUU
rnacentral:misc_RNA from 1 species